GACGAACGCUGGCGGCGUGCUUAAUACAUGCAAGUCGAGCGGACCGAGCGGCGCGUUGCUGGUUUCCAGCGACAAGCUGCAAAGGUUAGCGGCGAACGGGUGAGUAACACGUGGGUAAUCUGCCCCCAAGACCGGGAUAACAGAGCGAAAGCGCUGCUAAUACCGGAUGACCUCUCUUUAUCGCAUGGUGGAGGGAGCAAAGCGUAAGCGCUUGGGGAUGAGCCCGCGUUCCAUUAGCUAGUUGGUGAGGUAACGGCUCACCAAGGCGACGAUGGAUAGCCGGCCUGAGAGGGUGACCGGCCACACUGGGACUGAGACACGGCCCAGACUCCUACGGGAGGCAGCAGUAGGGAAUUUUCGGCAAUGGGGGAAACCCUGACCGAGCAACGCCGCGUGAGGGAUGAAGGCCUUCGGGUCGUAAACCUCUGUCUUUGGGGACGAUAAUGACGGUACCCGAGGAGGAAGCCCCGGCUAACUACGUGCCAGCACCCGCGGUAAUACGUANGGGGCGACCGUUGUCCGGAAUUACUGGCGUAAAGGGCGUGUANGCGGCCUGUUAAGUCANGCGUGAAACCCCGGCUUAACUGGGGAC
rnacentral:rRNA from 1 species